UACAGAGGGUGCAAGCGUUAAUCGGAAUUACUGGGCGUAAAGCGUGCGUAGACGGUUACGUAAGUCGGGUGUGAAAGCCCCGGGCUCAACCUGGGAAUUGCAUUCGAGACUGUGUAGCCAGGGUGCGGAAGAGGGAAGCGGAAUUUCCGGUGUAGCGGUGAAAUGCGUAGAUAUCGGAAGGAAGACCAGUGGCGAAGGCGAAUCUCUGGACAGUUACUGACACUGAGGCACGAAGGCCAGGGGAGCAAACGGG
rnacentral:rRNA from 1 species